rnacentral:rRNA from 1 species
GACGAACGCUGGCGGCGUGCUUAACACAUGCAAGUCGAACGGAAAGGCCCUGCUUUUGUGGGGUGCUCGAGUGGCGAACGGGUGAGUAACACGUGAGUAACCUGCCCUUGACUUUGGGAUAACUUCAGGAAACUGGGGCUAAUACCGGAUAGGAGCUCCUGCUGCAUGGUGGGGGUUGGAAAGUUUCGGCGGUUGGGGAUGGACUCGCGGCUUAUCAGCUUGUUGGUGGGGUAGUGGCUUACCAAGGCUUUGACGGGUAGCCGGCCUGAGAGGGUGACCGGCAACAUUGGGACUGAGAUAAGGCACAGACUCCUACGGGAGGCAGCAGUGGGGAAUAUUGCACCAUGGGCGGAAGGCUGAUGCAGCAACGCCGCGUGCGGGAUGACGGCCUUCGGGUUGUAAACCGCUUUCGCCUGUGACGAAGCGUGAGUGACGGUAAUGGGUAAAGAAGCACCGGCUAACUACGUG